rnacentral:misc_RNA from 1 species
GAUGAAGAACGUAGCGAAAUGCGAUAAGUAAUGUGAAUUGCAGAAUUCAGUGAAUCAUCGAAUCUUUGAACGCACAUUGCGCCCCUUGGUAUUCCGAGGGGCAUGCCUGUUCGAGCGUCAUUAUAACCCCUCAAGCUCAGCUUGGUGUUGGGGCCUGCUGCACUGGCAGCCCUUAAAAUCAGUGGCGGCGCCAUCUGGCUCUAAGCGUAGUAAUUCUUCUCGCUAUGGAGUCCUGGUGGAUGCUUGCCAUCAACCCCCAAUUUUUCUAUGGUUGACCUCGGAUCUGGUAGGGAUACCCGCUGAACUUAAGCAUAUCAAUAAGCGGAGGA